rnacentral:rRNA from 1 species
GACGAACGCUGGCGGCGUGCCUAAUACAUGCAAGUAGAACGCACAGUUUAUACCGUAGCUUGCUACACCAUAGACUGUGAGUUGCGAACGGGUGAGUAACGCGUAGGUAACCUGCCUGGUAGCGGGGGAUAACUAUUGGAAACGAUAGCUAAUACCGCAUAAUAUUAAUUAUUGCAUGAUAAUUAAUUGAAAGGUGCAAUUGCACCACUACCAGAUGGACCUGCGUUGUAUUAGCUAGUAGGUGAGGUAACGGCUCACCUAGGCGACGAUACAUAGCCGACCGGAGAGAGUGAUCGGCCACACUGGGACUGAGACACGGCCCAGACUCCUACGGGAGGCAGCAGUAGGGAAUCUUCGGCAAAGGACGAAAGUCUGACCGAGCAACGCCGCGUGAGUGAAGAAGGUUUUCGGAUCGUAAAGCUCUGUUGUAAGAGAAGAACGGGUGUGAGAGUGGAAAGUUCACACUGUGACGGUAUCUUACCAGAAAGGGACGGCUAACUACGU